rnacentral:rRNA from 1 species
AUUGAACGCUGGCGGCAGGCCUAACACAUGCAAGUCGAGCGGAUGAAGGGAGCUUGCUCCUGGAUUCAGCGGCGGACGGGUGAGUAAUGCCUAGGAAUCUGCCUGGUAGUGGGGGAUAACGUCCGGAAACGGGCGCUAAUACCGCAUACGUCCUGAGGGAGAAAGUGGGGGGUCUUCGGACCUCACGCUAUCAGAUGAGCCUAGGUCGGAUUAGCUAGUUGGUGGGGUAAAGGCCUACCAAGGCGACGAUCCGUAACUGGUCUGAGAGGAUGAUCAGUCACACUGGAACUGAGACACGGUCCAGACUCCUACGGGAGGCAGCAGUGGGGAAUAUUGGACAAUGGGCGAAAGCCUGAUCCAGCCAUGCCGCGUGUGUGAAGAAGGUCUUCGGAUUGUAAAGCACUUUAAGUUGGGAGGAAGGGCAGUAAGUUAAUACCUUGCUGUUUUGACGUUACCGACAGAAUAAGCACCGGCUAACUUCGUG